CAUGUAGGCGGAUAUGCAAGCUUGGUGUGAAAGGCAGGGGCUUAACUCCUGGACUGCGUUGAGAACUGCAUAACUAGAGUAACUGAGGGGCAACCGGAAUUCCAGGUGUAGGGGUGAAAUCUGUAGAUAUCUGGAAGAACACCAAUGGCGAAGGCAGGUUACCAGCAGAUUACUGACGCUGAGGUGCGAAGGUGCGGGGUAGCAAACA
rnacentral:rRNA from 1 species